GACAGAGGGUGCAAACGUUGUUCGGAAUUACUGGGCGUAAAGCGCGUGUAGGCGGUCGUGCAAGUCGGGUGUGAAAGCCCUCGGCUCAACCGGGGAAGUGCACUCGAAACUGCAUGACUAGAGUCUCGGAGAGGAUAGUGGAAUUCUCGGUGUAGAGGUGAAAUUCGUAGAUAUUGGGAAGAACACCGGUGGCGAAGGCGGCGACCUGGUCCGAUACUGACGCUGAGGCGCGAAAGCGUGGGGAGCAAACAGG
rnacentral:rRNA from 1 species